rnacentral:rRNA from 1 species
CAAGACCUUGCGCUUUUGGAGCGGCCGAUGUCUGAUUAGCUAGUUGGUGAGGUAAAGGCUUACCAAGGCUWCGAUCAGUAGCUGGUCUGAGAGGACGACCAGCCACACUGGGACUGAGACACGGCCCAGACUCCUACGGGAGGCAGCAGUGGGGAAUUUUGGACAAUGGGGGAAACCCUGAUCCAGCCAUGCCGCGUGAGUGAAGAAGGCCUUCGGGUUGUAAAGCUCUUUCAGCCGGAACGAAACGGUCACGGYUAAUACCUGUGACUACUGACGGUACCGGAAGAAGAAG